ACCCGACACAAUCGGUUAAAUUUCGCUGUCUUCCGCUUGCGUUAUUGUAACGACAUUAGUUUCGCUACGUCAUAGCUGAACAACACGCGAAUGUUGUAGAAGUACGUUUCGCGACGUUUUUUUCAUGGGGCCCCAUACGCGUUUUGUGUCGACGCAAGUCACGUUACUUGUUUAUUUUAAUUAUUUGGCGCCAUAAGCGCGAAGCAAGUAUAUUACAGAAUCGGUAAAGUAUAAAUCAUAAUUGACAUUAUUACGUACAUAUGCUAUUAUUUAGAAACAACGAUGAUGUGACGUCACGAAGUGGUGAUGACGUAACAGAAGAACCCACUUCAACAUGGUAUGUGACGUCACAGAGGAUUCAGCGGACCACACCACGAAAGAAAAAUGAAGAAGAUUCCGCGAAUAAAGCUGCAUAAGAAAAGCACACGACGAAGAACAAAGACGAAGACGCCGACGAAGAAGGAUAUACAGUUUGAGGUUUAUAAGUAUUAUAGUUGUGUGCUGUAUGUGUGUCUUGUCUGCGCUGCUGUAUUCUUAUUUUGCUAAUGUUGCCAGCUAUUUUAAGUCAGUCACUACUAUAUAGUGCAUUUUGCAUUUUACUGAAAUGUUUACAAUGAAACUAUGGCAAACAUCUUUUUUUGUGUACCAAGAUUUUGUUGUUGUACACUCUGUUGUGUGUUUCUUCAAAUAUCAAC